rnacentral:rRNA from 1 species
CCGAACCCAUGUAUGUUGAAAAAUGCUGGGAUGAGUUGUGGGUAGCGGUGAAAUUCCAAACGAACUUGGAGAUAGCUGGUUCUCUCCGAAAUAGCUUUAGGGUUAGCCUCGGAAGAUGGAUCAUGGAGGUAGAGCACUGUUUGAACUAGGGGCCCGUCAAGGGUUACUGAAUUCAGAUAAACUCCGAAUACCAUUGAUCUUACUCCGGGAGUCAGACAGUGAGCGAU